GACAGAGGGUGCAAACGUUGUUCGGAAUUACUGGGCGUAAAGCGCGUGUAGGCUGCUCCGAAAGUCGGAUGUGAAAGCCCUAGGCUCAACCUAGGAAGUGCAUUCGAAACUUCGGAGCUGGAGUUCUGGAGAGGAAGGCGGAAUUCUCGGUGUAGAGGUGAAAUUCGUAGAUAUCGAGAGGAACACCGGUGGCGAAGGCGGCCUUCUGGACAGUGACUGACGCUGAGACGCGAAAGCGUGGGGAGCAAACAGG
rnacentral:rRNA from 1 species